rnacentral:misc_RNA from 1 species
AACAAUUCCAUCAGCUAAGAAGGAAGAUAUCCGUAAACAUGAUUCUUCCUGGACGUGAAUCAUAAGAGGCUGGCAAGCAAUAACCGUUUCUGAAGCAAAAGAUGGCGGGACUGGAGACGGCUUGACCUGAAGGGAAUGAAGGCAUAUCAAGGGAACACCUACACUUAGAUGCCACUGCAGGUCUCCCAGAGGAUAUAUAGGAGGGCAAAAAUUCUUAGCAAAGGCAGGAAUCUGCACAUCAUUUUCUAUGACAGCCUCCAUGGAUGGCUGCACCAA